UCUGACACGGGAAAAACACACUUAUAAAACAACAACUGUCCCGCCUGGAGCGAAGAGGGACAGCCGCGUGCGCACAACACACAAACCCGCAAAAGAGCGAAAAUGCCGCGAUCAAUGGUGUACAUUGACAUUAAGUGAAAAUCCACAAAACAGCAAGGCCGCAAAAAGCGAACUGCGAAGUAGGAGGGAACGCUGCAUGGUUAUUCUGUUGUCGAAGCUUUUCCUACCUGUCAACAAAGUAUCUGAAGUC